GGUCUUCCCAGGGUCAGCUGUGUGUGUUGAACCAGAAGACAGCAAAAGCCCUUCUCCUGUAGCCUUCGUCCUAGGUUACUUGUACUGGGGGUGUUAUUUGGUCCAGAGCUACGCAAGUGUCAGAGGGAGAUUAGAGCCGGGCUCUCCUGACUCCUGUCCAGUGUUCUGCUGUGGCUUCUCCAGGCAUAGACACACAUCUAUGAAACCACAGGCAGGAGCUGGGCAGGAAAAAGCACGGCUCUCCCAGCAGUUGCUAACCCAGUAUCACUCUGCGGUGAUGAACACGUGCCCCACUGUACCUAGGACUGGAGCAGACUAAGGAGGGUUUUCCAGUGUCUCUUUCUGCUACUGACUGUGAGGUACAGACUAUUUUCAUGGCUGUAGGUGUUUGAGGCCUGGGGACACCCCCCCAUAGGCUCUAUAUGUGAGCCCCAGAAUUCCUAGAGGGGGUUAUAGAUUCAUGGACUCAGAAAAAAAAAA
rnacentral:lncRNA from 1 species